rnacentral:rRNA from 1 species
GUCUACAGCCAUGCUACCCUGAACAAGCCUGAUCCCGUCUGAUCUUGGAGGCUAAGCAGGGUCGGACCUGGUUAGUACUUGGAUGGGAGACCACCUAGGAAGACCAGGUGCUGUCGGUG